rnacentral:rRNA from 1 species
CCUACGGGAGGCAGCAGUGAGGAAUAUUGGUCAAUGGACGAGAGUCUGAACCAGCCAAGUAGCGUGAAGGAUGACUGCCCUAUGGGUUGUAAACUUCUUUUAUAUGGGAAUAAAACGUUCCACGUGUGGGAUUUUGUAUGUACCAUAUAAAUAAAGAUCGGCUAACUCCGUGCCAGCAGCCGCGGUAAUACGGAGGAUCCGAGCGUUAUCCGGAUUUAUUGGGUUUAAAGGGAGCGUAGGUGGAUUGUUAAGUUAGUUGUUAACGUUUGCGGCUAAACCGUAAAAUUGCAGUUGAAACUGGCAGUCUUGAGUACAGUAGAGGUGGGCGGAAUGCGUGGUGUAGCGGUGAAAUGCUUAGAUAUCACGAAGAACUCCGAUUGCGAAGGCAGUUCACUGGACUGCAACUGACACUGAGGCGCGAAAGUGUGGGUAUCAAACAGGAUUAGAUACCCCAGUAGUC